rnacentral:lncRNA from 1 species
GUGUGAAUAACUAUGUAUUUGCGAUUCAAGAAUUGCAUGGAAGAAAGGAAGAGGGGAAAAAGUACAAAGUGCCCUUUCAGUCUUUUGGUAUGCCCUCAAACUUCAGCUUCUUUACCUUCAGCUUGAGUUUUUUUUUUUGAUUGAAUAGGAGGCUGAGAAAACCUCAGCCACCUGAAGCUUUAUUAAAGGAAGAACAGAGAACCAAUGGGAUCUUAAACAUAAUUUUCCAAUCUCAGUAACAUAAC